rnacentral:lncRNA from 1 species
GGAUACUCACUAAUGCGAUGGAUAACAAGAGCAACUCGACAAGAUGAAGAGAAAACUUCCAGAGGCCAAAUAGAUUCAUUGACCCUUUGUCCAGCAGCGAUUCCCGACACACCAGAGAUCAGAACAACGAUCCAUCUGUCCAGAUUGAAGCCCAAAACGUCCUGAACAAGAACACCAAAUUUCAGAACGAUCCAACGGUGUGUUUCUCCGAAAUGCUCUCUUGAACAGGCUGACUUGCUGGAAAACGAAAACUUUUCAGCAACCUUAUCUUUUCUUCUCCUCUCUUCUUUAGCUCUCUC